UACGGGGGGAGCAAGCGUUGUUCGGAUUUACUGGGCGUAAAGGGCGCGUAGGCGGCCACCGCAAGUCAGUUGUGAAAUCUCUGGGCUUAACCCAGAAAGGUCAACUGAUACUGCGGGGCUAGAGUGCAGAAGGGGCAACUGGAAUUCUCGGUGUAGCGGUGAAAUGCGUAGAUAUCGGGAAGAACACCGAUGGCGAAGGCAGCCAUCUGGACCGACACUGACGCUGAGGCGCGAAAGCGUGGGGAGCAAACAGG
rnacentral:rRNA from 1 species